UUGGGCUUUCGAAAUAAAAGUAUAAAGUAAGAGAUGAAGUAGCAUGUCAAGAUGCUAUGAAACAUCCUAAGAUAUUAACAAAAGUAGUAGCAUGUUAAGAAAAAAACAUGCAGAGAUGUUAAGAGAGUAGACUGGUUUGACACAUUUGUUGGGCUUUCGAAAUAAAAGUAUAAAGUAAGAGAUGAAGUAGCAUGUCAAGAUGCUAUAUGAAACAUCCUAAGAUAUUAACAAAAGUAGUAGCAGGUUAAGAUGCUAUGUAAUAUCUCAAGACAUUAACAAAAGCUUAUUUAGAGAACCUUAAUGAAGAAAGGCAUGCCCGAUCAUGGAAAAGAAAGAAAAGGUAAUGUUGAAUAUAUAGUAGAAGGAAU
rnacentral:lncRNA from 1 species